GUCUACGGCCAUGCCACCCUAAACACGUCCAAUCCUGUCUGACCUCGGAAGCUAAGCAAGGUCGGGCCUGGUUAGUACUUGGAUGGGAGACCGCCUAGGAAGACUAGAUGCUGUAGGCA
rnacentral:rRNA from 1 species